rnacentral:rRNA from 1 species
UGGGGAAUAUUGCACAAUGGGCGAAAGCCUGAUGCAGCGACGCCGCGUGCGGGAUGAAGGCCUUCGGGUUGUAAACCGCUUUUGAUUGGGAGCAAGCGAGAGUGAGUGUACCUUUCGAAUAAGCACCGGCUAACUACGUGCCAGCAGCCGCGGUAAUACGUAGGGUGCAAGCGUUAUCCGGAAUUAUUGGGCGUAAAGAGCUCGUAGGCGGUUUGUCGCGUCUGGUGUGAAAGUCCAUCGCUUAACGGUGGAUCUGCGCCGGGUACGGGCAGGCUAGAGUGCGACAGGGGAGACUGGAAUUCCCGGUGUAACGGUGGAAUGUGUAGAUAUCGGGAAGAACACCAAUGGCGAAGGCAGGUCUCUGGGUCGUCACUGACGCUGAGGAGCGAAAGCGUGGGGAGCGAACAGGAUUAGAUACCCUGGUAGUCCACGCCGUAAACGGUGGAUGCUGGAUGUGGGGCCCCAUUCCACGGGUUCCGUGUCGGAG